rnacentral:tRNA from 1 species
GCGCAAGUGGUUUAGUGGANUCGUUGCCAUCGAUGAGCCCCCGGUUCGAUUCCGGGCUUGCGCA